AUUGAACGCUGGCGGCAGGCCUAACACAUGCAAGUCGAGCGGAUGAAGGGAGCUUGCUCCUGGAUUCAGCGGCGGACGGGUGAGUAAUGCCUAGGAAUCUGCCUGGCAGUGGGGGAUAACGUCCGGAAACGGGCGCUAAUACCGCAUACGUCCUGAGGGAGAAAGUGGGGGAUCUUCGGACCUCACGCUAUUAGAUGAGCCUAGGUCGGAUUAGCUAGUUGGUGGGGUAAAGGCCUACCAAGGCGACGAUCCGUAACUGGUCUGAGAGGAUGAUCAGUCACACUGGAACUGAGACACGGUCCAGACUCCUACGGGAGGCAGCAGUGGGGAAUAUUGGACAGUGGGCGAAAGCCUGAUCCAGCCAUGCCGCGUGUGUGAAGAAGGUCUUCGGAUUGUAAAGCACUUUAAGUUGGGAGGAAGGGCAGUAAGUUAAUACCUUGCUGUUUUGACGUUACCAACAGAAUAAGCACCGGCUAACUUCGUG
rnacentral:rRNA from 1 species